rnacentral:rRNA from 1 species
GUGAAAUUCAAAGAUUCCUUCGGGAUGAUUGUGGGACGCUAGCGGCGGGAUGGGUGAGUUACAACGUCGGCAAUCUCCCUAAAGACUGGGAUACCCCUAGAUACCAGUGGUAAUACCGGAUAACAACAUGAAUCGCCAGGUUCUAGUUUGAAAAGCGGGCGCUAGCUGUCACUUUAGGAUGAGCCCGCGGCGCAUUAGCUAGUUGGUGGGGUAAAGGCCUACCAAGGCAAUGAUGCGUAGCCGAGUUGAGAGACUGAUCGGCCACAUUGGGACUGAGACACGGCCCAAACUCCUACGGGAGGCAGCAGUAGGGAAUCUUCCACAAUGGACGCAAGUCUGAUGGAGCAACGCCGCGUGAGUGAAGAAGGUUUUCGGAUCGUAAAGCUCUGUUGUUGGUGAAGAAGGAUAGAGGCAGUAACUGGUCUUUAUUUGACGGUAAUCAACCAGAAAGUCACGGCUAACUACGUGCCAGCAGCCGCGGUAAUACGUAGGUGGCAAGCGUUGUCCGGAUUUAUUGGGCGUAAAGCGAGCGCAGGCGGAAUGAUAAGUCUGAUGUGAAAGCCCACGGCUCAACCGUGGAACUGCAUCGGAAACUGUCAUUCUUGAGUGCAGAAGAGGAGAGUGGAACUCCAUGUGUAGCGGUGGAAUGCGUAGAUAUAUGGAAGAACACCAGUGGCGAAGGCGGCUCUCUGGUCUGCAACUGACGCUGAGGCUCGAAAGCAUGGGUAGCGAACAGGAUUAGAUACCCUGGUAGUCCAUGCCGUAAACGAUGAGCGCUAGGUGUUGGGGACUUUCCGGUCCUCAGUGCCGCAGCAAACGCAUUAAGCGCUCCGCCUGGGGAGUACGACCGCAAGGUUGAAACUCAAAGGAAUUGACGGG